AUCCAGCUGACGAGUCCCAAAAUGGGACGAAAUGCGCGUUCUGAAU
rfam:Schistosoma mansoni strain Puerto Rico chromosome 6, complete genome